rnacentral:rRNA from 1 species
AACGCGAAGAACCUUACCUGGGUUUGACAUACACCAGAAAGCAUCAGAGAUGGUGCCCCCCUUGUGGUUGGUGUACAGGUGGUGCAUGGCUGUCGUCAGCUCGUGUCGUGAGAUGUUGGGUUAAGUCCCGCAACGAGCGCAACCCUUAUCUUAUGUUGCCAGCGCGUUAUGGCGGGGACUCGUGAGAGACUGCCGGGGUCAACUCGGAGGAAGGUGGGGACGACGUCAAGUCAUCAUGCCCCUUAUGUCCAGGGCUUCACACAUGCUACAAUGGCCGGUACAGAGGGCUGCGAGACCGUGAGGUGGAGCGAAUCCCUUAAAGCCGGUCUCAGUUCGGAUCGGGGUCUGCAACUCGACCCCGUGAAGUUGGAGUCGCUAGUAAUCGCAGAUCAGCAACGCUGCGGUGAAUACGUUCCCGGCCUUGUACACACCG